UACAGAGGUGGCAAGCGUUGUUCGGAAUUACUGGGCGUAAAGGGCGCGUAGGCGGCCAUCUAAGUCAGACGUGAAAUCCCCCGGCUUAACCUGGGAACUGCGUCUGAUACUGGACGGCUCGAGUUUGGGAGAGGGAUGUGGAAUUCCAGGUAUAGCGGUGAAAUGCGUAGAUAUCUGGAGGAACACCGGUGGCGAAGGCGGCAUCCUGGACCAACACUGACGCUGAGGCGCGAAAGCUAGGGGAGCAAACGGG
rnacentral:rRNA from 1 species